AUGGCCCAAGCUGGCAUUGCACUGAUUGGACUGGCUGUCAUGGGCCAGAACUUAAUAUUGUGCAUGAAUGACCAUGGCUUCAUGGCCUGUGCUUUUAAUAGUACAGUCUCCAAAGUUGAUGAUUUCUUGGCAACAAGGCAAAGGGAACCAAAGAUGUUGAUGUUCAGUCCUUGACGGAGAUGGUCUCCAAACUGAAAAAGCCACAGGCGUAUCAUCCCUCUUGUGAAGGCUGGUCAAGCUGUUGAUGAUUUCAUGAAAAAAUUAGUACCAUUGUUGCACACUGGUGAUGUCAUCAUUGAUGGAGGAAAUUCUGAAUAUAGGGAUGACACAAGACGAUGUAGAUACCACAAGGCCAAGAAAAUUUUAUCAGUGGAGAGCAAAGUUAGUGCUGGAGGAAAAGGAUCCCAGUAUGGCCUAUCACUCAUGCCAAGAGGGAACAAAAGCUGGCCCCUAUCAAGGCAAUCUUCUAAGGCAUCACUGCAAAAGAAAGAACUGAGGAACUUUUCUCUGACUGGGUGGGAGAGGAGGGAGCAGGCCACGUUGUAAAGAUGGUGUACAAUGGGAUACAGUAUGGGGAUAUGCAGCUGAUCUGUGGGGCUUACCACCUGAUGAAACAUGUGCUGGGCAUGGAGCAAAACAAGAUGGCACAGGAUUUUAAGGAUUGGAAUAAGACAGAGCUCGACUCAUUCUUGAAUGAAAUCAAAACAAGAUGACGGAGGCCUUUGAGGACUAGAAUAAGACAGAGCUCGAUCCAUUCUUGAUUGAAAUCACAGCCAAUAUUCUAAGAUACUGAUAGCAAAUACCUGCUGCCAAAGAUCAGGGACAGCACAGGACAGAAGGGCACCAGAAAGUGGACCACCAUCUCCACCCUGGAAGAUGGCAUUCCUGUCACCUUCAUUGGAAAAGCUAUCUUUGCUCGGUGCUUAUCCUCUCUGAAGGAUGAAAGAAUUCAAGCUAGCAAAAAGCUGAAGGGUUCCCAAAAGAUCUAGUUUGAUGGUGAUAAGAAAUCAUUCCUAGAAGACAUUCGGAAUGACCUCUAUGCUUCCAAGAUCAUCUCUUAUGCUCAAGGCUUUAUACUGCUAAGACAGGCAACCACUGAAUUUGGCUGGACCCUCAAUUAUGGUUGUAUUGUCCUGUUGUGGAGGAGGGAGGCUGCAUCAUCAGAGGUGUAUUUCUAGGAAAGAUAAAGGAUGCAUUUCAUCAACGCCCAGAACUUGAGAACCUAUUAUUAGACGACUUCUUUAAGUUGGCUGUUGAAAACUGCCAGGACUGCUGGUGGUGGGUGGUCAGCACUGGGGUCCAAGCUAGCAUUCCCAUGCCCUGUUUCACCAUUGCUGUCUCCUUCUGUGAUGGAUAUAGACACGAGAUGCUCCCAGCCAACCUCAUCCAGACUCAGCGGGAUUACUUCGGGGCUCACACUUAUGAAGGCUUAGAAAAACAGGGACAGUUUACCCACACCAAUUGGACAGGCCAUGGUGGCAGUGUGUCAUGCUCUUCACAUAAUG
rnacentral:lncRNA from 1 species